AAACUGCCUGAUGGAGGGGGAUAACUGCUGGAAACGGUAGCUAAUACCGCAUAACGUCGCAAGACCAAAGAGGGGGACCUUCGGGCCUCAUGCCAUCAGAUGUGCCCAGAUGGGAUUAGCUAGUAGGUGGGGUAACGGCUCACCUAGGCGACGAUCCCUAGCUGGUCUGAGAGGAUGACCAGCCACACUGGAACUGAGACACGGUCCAG
rnacentral:rRNA from 1 species